AGGUCGCCAAAAACCACUCACAACCUCCACUGCCCUCCAGCAAAGCCUUUAGCCACCCAAGUGUGAGAGGAGCCUGGAAAGGGGUAUUAGAUCCCCUACAAGGGGCCCACUCCACCUCCGUGCAGAAACACCAGCAACGUGUACCUCCUGAAGAGAACCGGCCCGGAGAUGGAGGGAAAAGCAGCGCCUUCCUCGGUUCAUUUGUCCAGUCAUUCAACAAUCGUUUACUGAAUACCUACCAGGUCCCGGACACUGUCCUAAGUGCUGGGGACAGACACAAAUGCAGCCGAUCCGGGACAGCUGUAUUCAGGACCAGCUUUGCUUGCUGGUAGCAAGUGCCUGUGUCAGAUGUGAAAGGACAAUUAGAUACAACAGAGAUGACUGAGAAGAUCCACUGGGUUUCAUUUGGAGUCAACAGCCUUGUUUUCAACGAACCUUCUUGCUUGAACAGUCUCACACAUGCAGAUUCUUUCUCCACUGGACAUCUCUGCUCAGAAUCUGUUGUUAUCUCUUGACCUUUUCGAACUGAGGAAUGGAUUUUGUUUUGGUGAGCUCUGGCUUGUUCUCUUUUGCUAGGAGACUUAAUUGUCAGCUGAUUGUCAAAUACCAAUCUGCGCCCCUUAGGUGAACGUGAGCAAGGGGGGCCAUUCUCUUUCUUGCCUUGCUUUGGUGGAGAACAGGGUGGUAAAUGGGGAGUGUUACACAGA